rnacentral:rRNA from 1 species
GACGGAGGAGGCUAGCGUUGUUCGGAAUUACUGGGCGUAAAGGGCGCGUAGGCGGCGUGUUAAGUCACUUGUGAAAUCUCUGAGCUUAACUCAGAACGGUCAAGUGAUACUGAUGUGCUAGAGUGCAGAAGGGGCAACCGGAAUUCUUGGUGCAGCGGUGAAAUGCGUAGAUAUCAAGAGGAACACCUGAGGUGAAGACGGGUUGCUGGGCUGACACUGACGCUGAGGCGCGAAAGCUAGGGUAGCAAACGGG